CCCUAAUCCGUCUUCAUUCUUCACCUGUUGCUCUCACUCUCUUCAUUCCAUUAUCCUCUUUCUUGCAUCAUUUCAGAAAUUCCUCGCAGAUCUUUAAAUCCCUCCUCAGCCUCAAGAAAUGAACAGAAAGUGAAAGUCAUUUCCUGCCCGAGUAGAAAAUUUUUAUCUCACCAAAUAAAAACAAUAAUUCCUCAUUUAAACGCAUUCGCUCAUACACAGGUGUUUGCACACAGUAUUACACAGUUUGUGUUCU